AGGACGAACGCUGGCGGCGUGCUUAACACAUGCAAGUCGAGCGAGGCCCUUCCUUCGGGAAGGUGCCCUAGCGGCGAACGGGUGAGUAACACGUGGGCAACCUGCCCCUAGCACUGGGAUAACUCCGGGAAACCGGGGCUAAUACCGGAUAUGACACGGAGAGGCAUCUCUACCGUGUGGAAAGUUUUUCGGUCUGGGAUGGACUCGCGGCCUAUCAGCUUGUUGGUGAGGUAAUGGCUCACCAAGGCGACGACGGGUA
rnacentral:rRNA from 1 species